CGCGGUUUUAAUAGAGCAAGGGAUCCACCUGUACCCAUGCCGAACACAGAAGUUAAGCCUUGCAUCGCCGAAGGUACUCGGAGGGCGACCUCCCGGGAGAUUAGGACGAAGCCGCAC
rfam:Clostridiales bacterium S7-1-4 contig48, whole genome shotgun sequence.